rnacentral:rRNA from 1 species
AGAGUUUGAUCCUGGCUCAGGACGAACGCUGGCGGCGUGCCUAACACAUGCAAGUCGAGCGAAGCUUUCAAAGCGGAUCCCUUCGGGGUGAAACUUUGACUGUCUUAGCGGCGGACGGGUGAGUAACGCGUGAGAAACCUGCCUUUCACAAAGGGAUAGCCUCGGGAAACUGGGAUUAAUACCUUAUGAUACUUCAUUGCCACAUGACAUAGAAGUUAAAGCGCAAAGCGGUGAAAGAUGGUCUCGCGUCCCAUUAGUUAGUUGGUGAGGUAACGGCUCACCAAGACCGCGAUGGGUAGCCGGCCUGAGAGGGUGAACGGCCACACUGGAACUGAGACACGGUCCAGACUCCUACGGGAGGCAGCAGUGGGGAAUAUUGCACAAUGGAGGAAACUCUGAUGCAGCGACGCCGCGUGAACGAUGAAGGCUUUCGAGUCGUAAAGUUCUGUCCUAGGGGACGAUAAUGACGGACCCUAGGAGGAAGCCCCGGCUAACUACGUGCCAGCAGCCGCGGUAAUAC